AAUGUUAUUAGCCAUUAGCAAGUUAUAUAAUUCGAACAAUGAUCUGUUGUCCCAAAACAUGUUCCAAAUCAUGUCCCGCACUAAUGAAAACAUGUCAACAUUCAUUAUUUAUUCUAUUUUUGUUUCAAUGUUUGGAACAGCAGAUCUUUAUUCAUGUAAUUCAAAAGCAAAUCAAAAAAGGCAACUCAUGCUUUUAUUUUACCUCAGCAGUUGUAGAAUCAGCUGAGAAAUGAUAGGUGAUUACUGAGUGUUUCUUGAAGUACUUAGACUGCAAAAAUUCAACAAUUUUUUCCAAAGCUUCCUCUUCUUCUUCCUCAUAUUUGUCAUCAGCUGCCAACCUGUCCCUCACAGCACUCUCAAUUUGAACACCAUAUUGUGCACCUUUGAUCUCUUUGAUCACCACAAGUCUUACAACCUUCUCAACUGGAGCUGCACAUAUGCACAUCUAUCAUUCACUAUUGUUACUCAUCAUUGGCAAUACAUCACUAUUACUUCAUUCAUACCAAUUAAUCAACAAAAGAAAUUACAUUAUUAAAGCUUUUGAGAGACAUUUUUUUUUGAACUGCAGUUAUUGGAGAACAAAGCUACCAUAGAAACAAGACAGCUCCAGUAACAGUUAAAAUUCAUUUAAAAAAAAUAAAAUAAAAAUAUUGGAGAACAAAGUCACCAUGGAAACAAGACAACUCCAGUAACAGUUAACCAUUAACUGUUACUGGAGCUGUCUUAUUUCCAUGGUGGCUUUGCUCUCUAAUAGCAGUUGCAAUUGUUUGGCGUAGUUGCCCUUCCAAGAAGUGUCAUUUCCAGGAAUUGAACAUUUGACAUUUUGGUCAUUCUGAGAUCUAGCGGGGUCUUAUAUCACUAUAUCAAUGUCUUGUUGAUAAACCAGAGUUGCAAUUGAAAUUAUAUUGUGUCUACCGCAAUAAAAUGUGGCCAAUGCAGUUGCAAAUGUAGAGACCACUAAAACUGCAACAUUGCAGCCAGAACUGCCGUUGCUGAUCAUGAAUUAAAGACCCUUUUUGUUUGUAAUUAAUAGCGAUAAUCUCUGAAGAUAUUCAUACAACUUGUGUUACUGAGGAUCACAACUUACCAAAAAUGACAGAAUCAAAGAAGCCAUCAUUCUCUUCAAUUAGCAAGUUAUAUAAUUCGAACAAUGAUCUGUUGUCCCAAAACAUGUUCCAAAUCAUGUCCCGCACUAAUGAAAACAUGUCAACAUUCAUUAUUUAUUCUAUUUUUGUUUCAAUGUUUGGAACAGCAGAUCUUUAUUCAUGUAAUUCAAAAGCAAAUCAAAAAAGGCAACUCAUGCUUUUAUUUUACCUCAGCAGUUGUAGAAUCAGCUGAGAAAUGAUAGGUGAUUACUGAGUGUUUCUUGAAGUACUUAGACUGCAAAAAUUCAACAAUUUUUUCCAAAGCUUCCUCUUCUUCU
rnacentral:lncRNA from 1 species